AGAAGUCUAGUUUAAGAAAAACAUUAGCUUGUCAAACUAAAGUUACUUGUAAUUUAAUUCUAAGGGUGACUUUUU
rnacentral:tRNA from 1 species